rnacentral:rRNA from 1 species
UUAAAUUGCUGUGGUAUUUUGACUAUACAAAGGUAUUGAAAUAAGACUUUAAUUGAGUGCUAAGAGAAUGGAAUUACAGAAAAACUCUUUAUUAAAUUUAAAAUUUGAAGCUAUUUUUAUUUGUGAAGAAACAAUAAUUAUAAUUAAGGACAAGAAGACCCUAAGAAUUUUAAUGAAAAGUUAUAAUUUUAAAUUUUUUUUUAAAACUUUUCUUUAAUUGGGGCGAUUAAUAAAAAUUAGAAACUUUGUUUAAAAUAAAAUGAACCAAUAUUAUUGGUAAAGUGAAAAAAAUACUCUAGGGAUAACAGCGUAAUAAUUUUAGAUAGUUCUUAUAGACAAAAUAGUUUGCGACCUCGAUGUUGGAUUAGGAUACUUUUUUAANGAAGAAGUUAAAAAAAGAAGUUUGUUCAACUUUCAAUUUCCUA